AUCCAACUGAUGAGUCCUAAAUAAGACGAAACACACUUCUUGAAU
rnacentral:hammerhead_ribozyme from 1 species